GAUGAACGCUGGCGGCGUGCCUAAUACAUGCAAGUCGAGCGAACGGACGAGAAGCUUGCUUCUCUGAUGUUAGCGGCGGACGGGUGAGUAACACGUGGAUAACCUACCUAUAAGACUGGGAUAACUUCGGGAAACCGGAGCUAAUACCGGAUAAUAUUUUGAACCGCAUGGUUCAAAAGUAAAAGACGGUCUUGCUGUCACUUAUAGAUGGAUCCGCGCUGCAUUAGCUAGUUGGUAAGGUAACGGCUUACCAAGGCAACGAUGCAUAGCCGACCUGAGAGGGUGAUCGGCCACACUGGAACUGAGACACGGUCCAGACUCCUACGGGAGGCAGCAGUAGGGAAUCUUCCGCAAUGGGCGAAAGCCUGACGGAGCAACGCCGCGUGAGUGAUGAAGGUCUUCGGAUCGUAAAACUCUGUUAUUAGGGAGGAACAUAUGUGUAAGUAACUGUGCACAUCUUGACGGUACCUAAUCAGAAAGCCACGGCUAACUACGUG
rnacentral:rRNA from 1 species